rnacentral:lncRNA from 1 species
GUAAGAGCUGGGAGCCAAAACGCCCUCUCUGCCUGACAGUCUCUUCCCCCUCCAGUCCAAACUGAAGUUCAACUAAUUCCUAGCUUGGAAAAUUCGUACCAAAAAAAAACCCAAAAGAGACCAGAUGAUGGACAGCAAAACACCCUUCAAGCCACCACCUCCAGUGGGCAGAGGGAAGACCCCAAUUUUCCCAAAUAGCAGACUUAUGACCAACUCAGCAACCACAUAAAGAAAACUACUGGAGGAUGUGCUCCACCAAGACACGAGAGUAAACCAAGAAAGGAGAAAGGCAUUGGACCCAGAAAGGAACACAAGUUGAUGUCAAUUUUGCUUCAGAUACCCCUACCUGCUCUGCUGACAGGUCAAAAAUCAAGAAAAGACCAUGCUUCCUGACAGACCCUUUGGGAACCAAGGCAAUGGUCUCCCCACCCGACUAAAGGUUAGCCAGCAUCAGGGAGCAGGAUCCCCCAGGGCCAGUCAUUCAAUAAAGAUUUAAAUACCCCCUGUGAGCAGGUUCCACAGGCAAUGCAGGGAAAG